rnacentral:rRNA from 1 species
UGGAGCAUGUGGUUUAAUUCGAAGCAACGCGAAGAACCUACCAGGCCUUGACAUGCAGAGAACUUCCAGAGAUGGAUGGUGCCUUCGGGAACUCUGACACAGGUGCUGCAUGGCUGUCGUCAGCUCGUGUCGUGAGAUGUUGGGUUAAGUCCCGUAACGAGCGCAACCCUUGCCUUUAGUUGCCAGCAGUUCGGCUGGGCACUCUAAAGGGACUGCCGGUGUUAAACCGGAGGAAGGUGGGGAUGACGUCAAGUCCUCAUGGCCUUUAUGACCAGGGCUACACACGUACUACAAUGGCCGAUACAAAGGGCAGCGACACUGCGAGGUGAAGCCAAUCCCGUAAAAUCGGUCUCAGUCCGGAUUGGAGUCUGCAACUCGACUCCAUGAAGUUGGAAUCGCUAGUAAUCGUGGAUCAGCAUGCCACGGUGAAUACGUUCCCGGGCCUU